rnacentral:rRNA from 1 species
UACGUAGGGGGGCUAGCGUUGUCCGGAUUUAUUGGGCGUAAAGAGCGUGUAGGCGGCCAGGUAGGUCUGCUGUGAAAACUCGAGGCUCAACCUCGAGACGUCGGCGGAAACCAUCUGGCUAGAGUCCGGAAGAGGAGAGUGGAAUUCCUGGUGUAGCGGUGAAAUGCGCAGAUAUCAGGAGGAACACCAAUAGCGAAGGCAGCUCGCUGGGACGGUAUUGACGCUAAGGCGCGAAAGCGUGGGGAGCAAACAGG